UACGAAGGGGGCUAGCGUUGUUCGGAUUUACUGGGCGUAAAGCGCACGUAGGCGGAUCGUUAAGUCGGGGGUGAAAUCCUGGAGCUCAACUCCAGAACUGCCUUCGAUACUGGCGAUCUAGAGUCCGGAAGAUGUGAGUGGAACUCCUAGUGUAGAGGUGGAAUUCGUAGAUAUUAGGAAGAACACCAGUGGGCGAAGGCGGCUCACUGGUCCGGUACUGACGCUGAGGUGCGAAAGCGUGGGGAGCAAACAGGG
rnacentral:rRNA from 1 species